AUAAGGAGUCUACCUCCCAAAGAGAUCCUGAAGACAGCAAAUCACAAAAGAGUUCGAAGGUACUGUGUCUUCUUGUGAUUUGGAAAUACCUGAUUUCAGUCAUGUUAAAACAAAAUUGGUGUUUGCUUGAAGGUAUAAAUUGACUUGAGAGACAGCUACUUUCAUAAGACAGACAGAUAAACAUUUUAGCUAUCUUGAGAAGGGGUGGUGUGAUAUCUCUUUGAGGCAUUGAUAUGCAUUUCCCUGGUGGUUGGUGAAGUUGAACAUACUUUUAUAUUUAUUGCCAUUUCUAUCUCUUAUUUUGAGACAGGUCUGUUGAGGUGCUGUGUCCAUUUCGGAACUAGAUUUGUUGUUUCUUCAUAUACUCUUGACGAUAUUUCUUAUCUGGGAAAGAGUGGGAUACCUAGUACCUAUGUAAUACAAGCUUCCCCUUACUUAUCUCAAGCUACGUAAAGGAGAGGUUUUGAGGCUAUCUUGACAUUUGCUUCAGCCAACUCUCUUGCCUUAGGACCUAGGAAAAAAGAAUUAGGAGCUAAACCCUUGUCCCAGUGGUGAAGAAAUCAGAUGAGCUAUCUGCCUCACACCUCGGAUGGCUUUCUGUCCUUAUUUUGUACCCAGUCUGACUCUCAGCCAGAAAUUAAGCAAUAUUUCCUGACCUUCCAAGACUGAAUUGAGGAUUCUGUUUUCUGCCUUUUCUUCAAGUAUAUUGACUUGAGUGGCAGAAAUAGUGGUUUAAACUUUCCUGUUCUCUUUUCCCAUGUCUACCUCUAACUGAACAUGGGGUAGAAUCUGCUCUGUGUUUAUAUGCUUAACUGAGCAUGGGGUAGAAUCUAUUGUUUGUGUGUAUGCUCAACCUUUGCAAGGACUGUGCCUGUGACAUGACACACAUAGUAAAUCCUGUCUCACUGAAUGAGUGGCUGAGGGGUUGAGAACUUGGGUGAUUGUUGAAUUUGUAUUUUAUCUUCCUGCAGGAAGGAAUGUCAACCGUAGCGAGUAAGAAGGGCUUAAAAGAUAUUGCCAUCACUCAAGUUGCUCCACACCAGCCAGUGAAUAAAUAUGCGUUCAACUAUGAUCGUGGAUUGGACAAUGAUAAGGAGUCUACCUCCCAAAGAGAUCCUGAAGACAGCAAAUCACAAAAGAGUUCGAAGGAGGAAUCCUCUGCAGAACCUCUAAAGAGGGAAGAAGUUGCAGUGCCUAUCUCCGGAAUAAGUGAUGAAGCUGUAGAAUCACCGUGGGAUUCUGAGGAAGAAACAUCAAGUGGAAAGGGUGAAGUUCGUGCUGGCACUGGAGGUGUCCCAGAAGGAGAUAUUCUGGAUUAUUUCCUGUCAUGUAGUUGGGCAAGGAUAGCCAAAGAGAGAAAAGCGUCAAUGGCAUCAAGUGGAGAUACUGAAAAGGAUGUGGCUGUCAGUCUAAGUGCACAAGAGCAUGCAAAGGACACAUUAUCUGGUAUUGCUGGAGUGCCAGAAGACAAAACUAUUGGUCAGUAUCUAUCAAUGAAACACUGUUUAAGUACUAAUGUCUGAACUGAAAUGAUUUCCAUUAUUUUGAUGAUUUUUCUUUCGCUAUUUGUUUCUAUGUCCAACUCAACCUGGUUUAAAGUGCUGAUUGAACAAGCAGAAAUUCUUUUUUUUUUAAUUUAUGUUUUUAUCAGAAAGAGAUACAGAGAGGGAGAGGUGGAGUCAGAGGCAUAGAGGCAGAGUGUGUGUGUGAGAGAGAGAGAAAGAAAGAAAGAGAGAGAGUGUGUGCAAGAGAGACAGAGAGGGAGAGAGAGAGAUCUUGCAUCUGCUCGUUCACUCCCCAAAUGGCCACAAUGGGCAGGACUGGGUCAGGCCAAAGCCAGGAUCCAGAAGCAUCUUCUGGGACUCCCAUGUACGUGCAAGGGGCCAAAGACUCAGGCUAUCUUGUAUUGCUUACCCAGGUACAUUAGCAGAGAGCUGGAUCAGAAGUGGGGCCACUGGAACUUGCACCCGUAGCCAUAUGGUAUGCCAUUGCUGAAUCGCCGUGGCUCUACCUGCUAUGCCAGAGCACUGGCCCUCUAUCUGAAAUUCUUUAUUGCUGUUACUUAAAUUUUAGUAUAUUAAGAAUGACUCAGCUGAAUGUGGAAAUUUUUAAAAGCAAUAGUUGGGGCUGGCGAUAUGGUGUAGUGGGUAAAGCCCCCGCCUGCAGUGCUGGCAUCUCAUAUGGGCACUGGUUCAAGUGCCAGCUGCUCUACUUCCCAUCCAGAUAUCUGCUAUGGCCUGGGAAAGUAGAAGAUGAUGCAAGACCUUGGGCCCCUGCGCCCACAUGCCCACAUGCCCACAUUGGAGACCCAUAAGAAGCUGCUGGCUCCUGGUUGCAGAUUGGCAUAGCUCUUGCUGUUGCAGCCAACAGGGAGUGAACCAGUGGAUGGAAGACCUCUCUCUCUCUGUCUCUCUCGGUAUAACUCUGACUUUCAAAUAAAUUAAAAUAUCUUUUAAAAAAAAGCA
rnacentral:lncRNA from 1 species